rnacentral:rRNA from 1 species
UACGUAGGGGGCAAGCGUUGUCCGGAAUCAUUGGGCGUAAAGAGCGUGUAGGCGCCAGAAAAGUCCGCUGUGAAAACUCGAGGCUCAACUUCGAGCUGUCGGUGGAAACUUUCUGGCUAGAGUCCGGAAGAGGAGAAUGGAAUUCCUGGUGUAGCGGUGAAAUGCGCAGAUAUCAGGAGGAACACCGGUGGCGAAGGCGGGUCUCUGGGCCGAUACUGACGCUGAGGAGCGAAAGCCAGGGGAGCAAACGGGAUUAG